AUGAACGCUAGCUACAGGCUUAACACAUGCAAGUCGAGGGGCAGCAUGGUCUUAGCUUGCUAAGGCCGAUGGCGACCGGCGCACGGGUGAGUAACACGUAUCCAACCUGCCGUCUACUCUUGGACAGCCUUCUGAAAGGAAGAUUAAUACAAGAUGGCAUCAUGAGUCCGCAUGUUCACAUGAUUAAAGGUAUUCCGGUAGACGAUGGGGAUGCGUUCCAUUAGAUAGUAGGCGGGGUAACGGCCCACCUAGUCUUCGAUGGAUAGGGGUUCUGAGAGGAAGGUCCCCCACAUUGGAACUGAGACACGGUCCAAACUCCUACGGGAGGCAGCAGUGAGGAAUAUUGGUCAAUGGGCGAGAGCCUGAACCAGCCAAGUAGCGUGAAGGAUGACUGCCCUAUGGGUUGUAAACUUCUUUUAUAAAGGAAUAAAGUCGGGUAUGCAUACCCGUUUGCAUGUACUUUAUGAAUAAGGAUCGGCUAACUCCGUGCCAGCAGCUGCGGUAAUACGGAGGAUCCGAGCGUUAUCCGGAUUUAUUGGGUUUAAAGGGAGCGUAGAUGGAUGUUUAAGUCAGUUGUGAAAGUUUGCGGCUCAACCGUAAAAUUGCAGUUGAUACUGGAUAUCUUGAGUGCAGUUGAGGCAGGCGGAAUUCGUGGUGUAGCGGUGAAAUGCUUAGAUAUCACGAAGAACUCCGAUUGCGAAGGCAGCCUGCUAAGCUGCAACUGACAUUGAGGCUCGAAAGUGUGGGUAUCAAACAGGAUUAGAUACCCUGGUAGUCCACACGGUAAACGAUGAAUACUCGCUGUUUGCGAUAUACAGCAAGCGGCCAAGCGAAAGCGUUAAGUAUUCCACCUGGGGAGUACGCCGGCAACGGUGAAACUCAAAGGAAUUGACGGGGGCCCGCACAAGCGGAGGAACAUGUGGUUUAAUUCGAUGAUACGCGAGGAACCUUACCCGGGCUUAAAUUGCAGAUGAAUUACGGUGAAAGCCGUAAGCCGCAAGGCAUCUGUGAAGGUGCUGCAUGGUUGUCGUCAGCUCGUGCCGUGAGGUGUCGGCUUAAGUGCCAUAACGAGCGCAACCCUUGUUGUCAGUUACUAACAGGUCAUGCUGAGGACUCUGACAAGACUGCCAUCGUAAGAUGUGAGGAAGGUGGGGAUGACGUCAAAUCAGCACGGCCCUUACGUCCGGGGCUACACACGUGUUACAAUGGGGGGUACAGAGGGCCGCUACCACGCGAGUGGAUGCCAAUCCCAAAAACCUCUCUCAGUUCGGACUGGAGUCUGCAACCCGACUCCACGAAGCUGGAUUCGCUAGUAAUCGCGCAUCAGCCACGGCGCGGUGAAUACGUUCCCGGGCCUUGUACACACCGCCCGUCAAGCCAUGGGAGCCGGGGGUACCUGAAGUGCGUAACCGCGAGGAGCGCCCUAGGGUAAAACUGGUGACUGGGGCU
rnacentral:rRNA from 1 species